GAUGAAGAACGUAGCGAAAUGCGAUAAGUAAUGUGAAUUGCAGAAUUCAGUGAAUCAUCGAAUCUUUGAACGCACAUUGCGCCCGCCAGUAUUCUGGCGGGCAUGCCUGUUCGAGCGUCAUUUCAACCAUCAAGCCCCCGGCUUGUGUUGGGGACCUGCGGCUGCCGCAGGCCCUGAAAACCAGUGGCGGGCUCGCUAGUCACUCCGAGCGUAGUAAUACAUCUCGCUCAGGGCGUGCUGCGGGUUCCGGCCGUUAAAAAGCCUUAUUUACCCAAGGUUGACCUCGGAUCAGGUAGGAAGACCCGCUGAACUUAAGCAUAUCAAUAAGCCGAGGA
rnacentral:misc_RNA from 1 species